rnacentral:sRNA from 1 species
GCUGGGUCCAGUGGCAUGUACUUGUAGUCCAAGUUACUCAGGAGACUGAGCUGGGAGAAUUCCUUGAGCCCAGGAAUUCAAGGACACCCUGGGAAAUAAAGAAAAACUCCCUCCCCC